rnacentral:tRNA from 1 species
CCCGCUUUGGCACAGUUGGCAGUGCAUCAGUCUUGCAAGCUGAAGGUCCAGAGUUCCAUCUUCGAAAGGGGG